CAUAGGCCACAUGCAAGAAGGUAGUGCAAUGGUGCAGCCAUCAGAAUUGAUUGGUUCUGUUGUUGAACUAUUGGAUCACUUCAAGACCUGCUCUAACUGUGAUUAUAAGGUUUUUAAUGGUAUUUUGGACCCCUGCUUACUCCAAAGAUUAGAUUUGUUGGGAACAAAUGAUCUCAAACAGGAAGCAACAGUCUGUAAUGGCAACUACUUAGCUGAACAGAUUACAGAUCCCGAAGCAAUAUAUCGAAAUAGCCAAACAUCACAGUCAAUUGAUCAACCAAAAUCCACCAAUGGUGAAUCAAAUCAUGAAUCAGACCAAAUAAGCUUGAUUAGUAAGUCUGAACAUAAAAGAGAAGAUGACAUAGUUUCUGAACAUGAAAGAGAAGAUGACAUAGUUUCUAUCAUCAGUGUCAGCACUACUUCAGAUGUGAAUGAGUGUGCAUCAAGUGGAACAUGGACUGAUCCUUUCUCAUUACCAAAUAUUGUUAACAAUUUAACAAGCAGAAAAGAUGCAGUGGAAAUCGGAGCUACUGAACUUAAGGAGUGUGCUGAUACUACAUCAGAGAAGGGAUCGAUUGGUGAUCUUGAUAUUCAGAUUGAUAGUGUUUCAAUAUUGUCAGAGUCAGAUCAAGGUGGAAGUUUCAGCUUGACAAGUGACCAAAAUAACAGUGACCUAGAGCAAGUUGAUAGUGAUAGUAUUUCUGUCCAGUCCAUUCAAUCCCAACCACCACCCCUUAUUGGGCGGAGUGCAUUGCGAAAUGCCUUUAUUCAGAACAACAACAACUUGCUCACUAAAACACACAGCACUUCCCCUGGGUUGAGUAAUACAACAAAAGAGACCACAGUUUACUACAGGUCUGCACCACUUAGUAGUGGUAGUGGUACUGACACUGCUCAAGAGGAAAUAGUGUAUAAGUUAGUUACUACAGCUGAUGUGAACCGUGGUAAACCGUGGAAGAAGUACGUUGAGUUGCAGGGUAAAAUAACCCGAUGUUACAUAGUGCCCUCUGAGAAUAUUAGCCGCAGAGUUAAACUUCUUAAUUUCUCCGACUCUACAGGGGUUACACAAGUAGCGCUGAGAGGAGACUUGUCUGCUGAAUACGACGUUAUGAAUGCUUCUAAUUUUAUCUCUGUAAAGGGUAUAUGUGAGAAGCGAUGUGCUGGUAAAACUAAAGCAGAGAGUAAGCAGAAGUUUGACAGUUAUGAGAUAGUGGCUCAGUCCUGGUCAAAACUCAAUGAUAAAGAAAACACGUCCGACAACAUUUCAAAUAGUUCUCAGAAAUCUCAUCACAGAUCAAAUGAACAUAGAUCAGGAUCAAAUGAACAUAAAUCAGGAUCAAAUGAACAUAGAUCAGGAUCAAAUGAACAUAGAUCAGGAUCAAAUGAACAUAGAUCAAGAUCAAAUGAACAUAGAUCAGGAUCAAAUGAACAUAGAUCAGAUCAAAUGAACAUAGAUCAGGAUCAAAUGAACAUAGAUUCGGAUCGAGUGAUAUCAGAUACAAAGAGUCGAUGAUGACUACUACUACUAUGAUGAUGAGUGGCACUGUUAAAUAUGACAAUCAAAGGACGGCUAUGAGAAAGAAAUAACGAAUCAACCAGUGCACAGAAAUAUUGAAAACAAGCCCCCUCCCCUUGUACCAGCUGAAAACAGGGGCGCAUCUUCUGUACCGUACUCGCCUACAGUACUUAUAACGGACAUUCCAACGCAUAUAAAAAGUAGCAUUGUAAUUUGGGGAACACUCUCCAAUGCAACCUCUACCACUGCUACUCUCUCUAAAGCUGGCUCUAAAGUUGUCUUGCAUUUCAAAUCUAGCUACAGGGUAGAGAGUAGUCUGGUGAUAGUAGAAGGAACUCCCUUUAAAAACAUGAAUAAUCAGACGAUAGUAGCAGUGGAGCGAAUUGAAGACUUAAACCCCAGACACGUAGCUUGUUUGAAGUUUUUAGCUUCAUCAUCACCUUCUGGGGCUAAGUCGAUGAGAAAGAUAAGUGACAUGCCCAAGAUUAUCAAAGGGACAGAUAUUCCUCAGUUUCGGGGCAACUUCGUUCUAAUAAGAGCUAAACUGGUGAAUCUACAACACGGGGGAAAGAGAGGUCCGAGUAAAGGACGUGUAGUGUGCGGGGAUGGAGCCCCUGUUCACUUUAGCUGCGUUCCUUUCCUUCUCAGAAACAAUACGGUCAAACUAGGCGAUCAGGUUGUAAUGAUAGGAAAAGUUAAUCAGAACAACAAGCGCAGCACUCAGACGCUAACCCUUGGAUAACUAUAGACCAUCUACAAGUUAUACCUGAUAAAGAGGCUGAUUCCGUGUUAGGAUUCACCAAGUCAGCUAUUUACGAAGUUUUGAAGCAAAUAGUUCUAGAAACCCUAAAGAAGGAUGAUAGGUCCUUGGAGAAGGAUCCUUGGGGCUUUCUUAACGACUAAAGACCACUUUGACUGUGUUUUUAGAUAUUACAUUGAGAGUUAGUUUUUGUCAGAAUAUUGCGAGGUAUAGAGUAGUUCAAUUCAUUUUAUUUAAAACUUUAAAACUGUUUUGAUCGGGGGGAGAUUUUAUUUUAUUUUAGAUUAGAAGAGCUGAUGUAUUUUUAUAUUUAUCUAAAUUCAGAGAAA